rnacentral:rRNA from 1 species
GAUGAACGCUGGCGGCGUGCUUAACACAUGCAAGUCGAACGGAAGGGCCACAGCUUGCUGUGGUACUCGAGUGGCGAACGGGUGAGUAACACGUGGGUGAUCUGCCCUGUACUUCGGGAUAAGCUUGGGAAACUGGGUCUAAUACCGGAUAGGAAUCACAUGUGGGUGUGUGGUUGGAAAGCUUUUGCGGUAUGGGAUGAGCUCGCGGCCUAUCAGCUUGUUGGUGGGGUAAUGGCCUACCAAGGCGUCGACGGGUAGCCGGCCUGAGAGGGUGUACGGCCACAUUGGGACUGAGAUACGGCCCAGACUCCUACGGGAGGCAGCAGUGGGGAAUAUUGCACAAUGGGCGCAAGCCUGAUGCAGCGACGCCGCGUGGGGGAUGACGGCCUUCGGGUUGUAAACUCCUUUCGUCAGGGACGAAGCGAAAGUGACGGUACCUGGAUAAGAAGCACCGGCUAACUACGUG